AUGUUACAUGAAUGCCAUCCUCCAGUCGUUGUUUUGUCUCGGAAGACAUUCUCAACGGAUCUAAUGUCCAGCAAAAAAGUUUGUGAAAACACUUCAGCAACAUUCACUAUAUUAUGCUCUAGUCAAAUUAUUAUUAGUGAAAAGACAGUUGAAUGCCAGUGAUAUUUCUCGUAGAGAGGCAUUAAGACGUGUGAAAAGUGCAAUAUCAACCACAGCAAAAAGGUUCUCAGGCUAUGGACAGCAUGAUGCCCAUGAGUUUCUGGGGCAGGUGCUUGAUCAGCUUAAAGAGGAGGUGAUAAAAGCAUCUAGUGGGAACGCCCCAC